GAAACUCUUGUAACAUCCG
rnacentral:sRNA from 1 species